rnacentral:tRNA from 1 species
GGCAGAGUGCCCGAGUGGACUAUGGGGCUGCGCUCGAAUUACCCUCGAUACGCUGUGGCUUCGGCCGCGCAGGUUCGAAUCCUGCCUCUGUCG